ACAUAUCCUGCUAUGAAUAAUAGGGAAAGUCACUAUUCAAAUGAGAACUUGAAAUUCCUAUUGUUUACAACAUGGCCUUUUCUCUUUUGUUUGUCAAGAAAGGGUUAAAUCUGGAUACAGAAAUUUCUUGCAUGCUAGGCUCAUAGUUCACCACGUUGUUCCGUGAUUUUUGUGUGAUUUUCUGAGGUUUCUAAUGUACUGUGUGUUGCUAGCAACUUAUGAAGGCAUACUAGCUUUCCCUUGAUUCCUAACAUGCAUGAUUUCUCUUAAUACAAGAAUUAUGUAUAUAUUUUCACAAACUUGUUUGCCUGUCAAAUCUAAGCUUUGCUUUAUCAGUCACUCCACCCAAUUAAUUUGAAUUAUAAUGAUUAAUCACAUAAAUACAUAUUACUGGAAAAUGACUCGCUCAAAAUGGUUACUUGAGGAGUUUGGUGUUUUAGCUUGUUCAACUUGCUUAAAUCUACUUGCAGGUUGAUUUUUCUGCAGAGUUUGUGAACUAGGACUGCACAGGACUGUACGGGCAGGUACUGAUUCUUCUCCAAGAAGGGUUAUCAGGGGAGGAGGGGCAUACAGAGGCAGGGCACAAAUGGGCACACAAAUAGUUUAAGGUUGAUUUUUCUGCAGAGUUUGUGAACUAGGACUGCACAGGACUGUACGGGCAGGUACUGAUUCUUCUCCAAGAAGGGUUAUCAGGGGAGGAGGGGCAUACAGAGGCAGGGCACAAAUGGGCACGCAAAUAGUUUAAGGUACAUCUGCCAUGUAUAAAGUUAGAUUCUACUCACACCCUAAAAAAAUACAUAUCCUGCUAUGAAUAAUAGGGAAAGUCACUAUUCAAAUGAGAACUUGAAAUUCCUAUUGUUUACAACAUGGCCUUUUCUCUUUUGUUUGUCAAGAAAGGGUUAAAUCUGGAUACAGAAAUUUCUUGCAUGCUAGGCUCAUAGUUCACCACGUUGUUCCGUGAUUUUUGUGUGAUUUUCUGAGGUUUCUAAUGUACUGUGUGUUGCUAGCAACUUAUGAAGGCAUACUAGCUUUCCCUUGAUUCCUAACAUGCAUGAUUUCUCUUAAUACAAGAAUUAUGUAUAUAUUUUCACAAACUUGUUUGCCUGUCAAAUCUAAGCUUUGCUUUAUCAGUCACUCCACCCAAUUAAUUUGAAUUAUAAUGAUUAAUCACAUAAAUACAUAUUACUGGAAAAUGACUCGCUCAAAAUGGUUACUUGAGGAGUUUGGUGUUUUAGCUUGUUCAACUUGCUUAAAUCUACUUGCAGGUUGAUUUUUCUGCAGAGUUUGUGAACUAGGACUGCACAGGACUGUACGGGCAGGUGAGCUCAACCUCCUCUCUUUUCAUUAUCUCUAUUGUGCAUGUCUAUAUAUAAUAUGUUAGCGCAACAUAAGUCAUGAGCUGUCUAGUGAAUUAGUCGACAAUAAAUGUUGUAAACAAUAAAUGAAAAACAUUACGAAAAAUGAAAAAGGCACACACUUGUCAACGAUAAAGCAAAGUUUUCGUGGGUAUACCUGUAAAACAGCGCUAAGACCUCACCUUUUGGAAAUAAUUACAAUUAUGAAAACAUGGAUCAAAUUGCUGAAUUGAAUAAAUUUGGUGCUAUCAUAUACCUACCAUGUUCAUGACUAGAGGUAAGCGGAACCAAAUCAGUGACACCUGUUAUAGGGUGAACCACCACCUCUGAAAAUGUAUUAUGCGAAAAUGAUUCCCUCAAUCAAAUUGGCUAGUUGAAGUUAGAGUUUGAUGUUUUAGCUUGUUUGACUUUAAAUUGGCCAGUGGGCCGCAUUUAAGCCAGCCCAUUAGCUUAAAAAUUAUCUUAAAUAGGGGUAUCCUAUAUUUAAGUAAAGGUAAAUGAUCUUGUGUGUUCUAUAUGAUACUGUGAUGGAGAAUUAUAAAAAAUUAAGUAGGGCAUCCUAUAUUUGAGUGUAAAAUUUUAGUAUGGCAAACUGGUCCUCCGAGCAAGUUUUCUUUUCCAUUAUACUGCCUUUUCUCCUAUCCCAGUGAAAGUCCUAAAAGUGCCCUAACAGUAUCUCAAAUGCUGGUACUAUUACAUAGUUACUAUAUAAGCUAUAUAUACUGCUAAGUGAAUGACUGGCCAUGAUCGCGGUUUUUUUUCUUGACAGUUAGGAUCAAUAGCAUGGUUGCUGUAGUAGCAUUCAGACAUGAUUCUAUUGCUCAUAGAGGCCAUAUUUGUGUCUCUGAGAAAGCUUGUUGCUUAUCAAAUAGGAGUACAUAUUCUGCUAUUGUGAGUUUGCACAUUAAAACACAUUGGAAGGAUAAAUAUCAGACAAAUGAGCAUGAAAGUUGGCCUCCUCAAAUUAUUGCUCUUUAGCUCUCCCUAUUAAA